GCCGGGUGCGGUGGCGCGUGCCUGUAAUCCAAGCUACCGGGAGGCUGAGGUUGGAGGAUCGUUUGAGGUCAGGAGCUCUGAGCUGCAGCGGACUAGGCCGAUCGGGUGUCCACACUAAGUUCGGCAUCGAUAUGGUGAUCCUGGGGGAGCCCGGGACCACCAGGUCGUCUAAAGAGGGGUGCCCAGGUCGGAGACGGAGCAGGUCAAAGCCCCCGUGUCGCUCAGUAGUGGGAUCGCGCCUGUGAAUAGACGCUGCAGUUCAGCCUGAGCAAUACAGCGAGACACAAUCUUUA
ensembl:misc_RNA Metazoa_SRP Metazoan signal recognition particle RNA